rnacentral:misc_RNA from 1 species
GCAAACUUGGUCAUUUAGAGGAAGUAAAAGUCGUAACAAGGUUUCCGUAGGUGAACCUGCGGAAGGAUCAUUAACAAAUCCUGUGACGAGCGCGUGCCUGCAUGCGUCUCGGAACAUUUGCCCCGGGUGUGCGCUGCACGCCGUGCUGCUGCCCCCGGACAUUUGCGUGCAUAUCUGACCGAUUGGUAAUGCAAGAGAGAAUACAAACUUUUAACAAUGGAUCUCUAGGCUCCUGCAUCGAUGAAGAACGCAGC